rnacentral:rRNA from 1 species
GAUGAACGCUGGCGGCGUGCCUAAUACAUGCAAGUCGAGCGAACAGACGAGGAGCUUGCUCCUCUGACGUUAGCGGCGGACGGGUGAGUAACACGUGGAUAACCUACCUAUAAGACUGGGAUAACUUCGGGAAACCGGAGCUAAUACCGGAUAAUAUAUUGAACCGCAUGGUUCAAUAGUGAAAGACGGUUUUGCUGUCACUUAUAGAUGGAUCCGCGUUGCAUUAGCUAGUUGGUAAGGUAACGGCUUACCAAGGCAACGAUGCGUAGCCGACCUGAGAGGGUGAUCGGCCACACUGGAACUGAGACACGGUCCAGACUCCUACGGGAGGCAGCAGUAGGGAAUCUUCCACAAUGGGCGAAAGCCUGACGGAGCAACGCCGCGUGAGUGAUGAAGGUCUUCGGAUCGCAAAACUCUGUUAUUAGGGAAGAACAAAUGUAUAAGUAACUAUGCACGUCUUGACGGUACCUAAUCAGAAAGCCACGGCUAACUACGUG